rnacentral:rRNA from 1 species
GUUACAGCCGUGCAGGCAUCCGCGGUAAGACGGAGGGUGUUGGCGUGGUUCGGAAGUACUGGGCGUAAAGCGCACGUAGGCGGCUUUGCAAGUUAGAGGGGAAAGCCCGGGGCUCAACUCCGGAAUUGCCUUUAAAACUGCAUCGCUAGAGUUGUGGAGAGGUAAGUGGAAUUCCGAGUGUAGAGGUGAAAUUCGUAGAUAUUCGGAAGAACACCAGUGGCGAAGGCGACUUACUGGACACAUACUGACGCUGAGGUGCGAAAGCGUGGGGAGCAAACAGGAUUAGAUACCCGGGUAGUC